rfam:TPA: Bos taurus chromosome 6, whole genome shotgun sequence.
UCCCUAGAGGCUCAGACGGUAAAGCGUCUGUCUGCAAUGUAGGAGGCCCAGGUUCAAUCCCUGGAUUGGGAA